GUCGAACGCUGGCGGCGUGCUUAACACAUGCAAGUCGAACGGAGUGGCGAACGGGUGAGUAACACGUGGGUGAUCUGCCUUGCACGUGGGGAUAAGCUUGGGAAACUGGGUCUAAAACCGGAUAGUGCAAGAUGUGCUCGCGGCUGAUGAGCUUGUUGGUGGGGUAAUGGCCUACGAUGGCGUCGGGGUGUAGCCGGCCUGAGAGGGUGUACGGCCACAUUGGGACUGAGGGACGGCCCAGACGGCUACGGGAGGCAGCUGGGGGGAAUACUGCACAAUGGGCGCAAGCGUGAUGAAGAGACGCCGCGGGUGGUAUGGAAUCUUUCGGGUUGUAAACUCCUUUCGGCAGAGACCCGGUACCUGUAUAAGAAGCACCGGGUAACUACGUGCCAGCAGCCGCGGUAAUAC
rnacentral:rRNA from 1 species